CGGAGGGAGCUAGCGUUGUUCGGAAUUACUGGGCGUAAAGCGUACGUAGGCGGUUAUUCAAGUCAGAGGUGGAAGCCCGGGGCUCAACCCCGGAACUGCCUUUGAAACUAGAUAGCUAGAAUCUUGGAGAGGUCAGUGGAAUUCCGAGUGUAGAGGUGAAAUUCGUAGAUAUUCGGAAGAACACCAGUGGCGAAGGCGACUGACUGGACAAGCAUUGACGCUGAGGUACGAAAGCGUGGGGAGCAAACAGGAUU
rnacentral:rRNA from 1 species